AAAAUGGUAUUCCAGCAAUUUGCUGGCCUCAAAAUCGUAUAUUUGUGGAAUAAAUCCGUCUUCAUGAGUAUUUCCGGAUGUAAAAAGUGGGUUUAUCCACUUUAAAUUAUUUGUCAGUGUAAGAAAAUUCGGUUCAAUCUUCUUUUUAACCCGUCCAUUUGUCACAGAUUUUUUUUUUGGUUAGAAUCUCGGUACGCAUUCAAAAGAAGCAGUUUUCAAACAAUUUAUUUAAAUAAUUCUAAUUUGCAUCACGCGUGCUACCAACGUAUUCAAGACUGAUUUAAACAUUAAAACAGGGCAACAAAACUCUCUCGUCUGUUUCGUGUAUUUGUUUAACGAUAUAGGUGAUAAAGAUAUUUCCAAUCGAUUUGUAGGAAACGGCUUACUGUCAAACUAGUGGAAACUGUGGUCAGGAUGGCUAUCAGACGUCAUUCGGAGAAUAUCAAUACAAUUCAAAUCAGCAGAAGAAGCAUUCGCGUGAAGUCAGGAUGGCUUUCGGGUAUCGAUCGGAAAAUCUGGAUG